CCUACGGGUGGCAGCAGUAGGGAAUUUUCGGCAAUGGGGGGAACCCUGACCGAGCAACGCCGCGUGAACGAAGAAGUUAUUCGUAAUGUAAAGUUCUUUUAACAGGGAAGAAAGAGAAGUUUGACGAUACCUGAAGAAUAAGCUCCGGCUAACUACGUGCCAGCAGCCGCGGUAAUACGUAGGGAGCGAGCGUUAUCCGGAAUUAUUGGGCGUAAAGGGUGCGUAGAUGGCAUAGUAAGUCUUUUGUAAAAAUGCUGGGCUAAACCCAGUAGGGCAAAAGAUACUGCAAAGCUAGAGUAUGACAGAGGCAAGUGGAACUACAUGUGUAGCGGUGAAAUGCGUAGAUAUCAGGAGGAACACCGGCGGCGAAGGCGGCUUACUGGACUGUAACUGACGUUGAGGCUCGAAGGCGUGGGGAGCAAACAGGAUUAGAUACCCCAGUAGUC
rnacentral:rRNA from 1 species